UGGGGAAUAUUGCACAAUGGGCGCAAGCCUGAUGCAGCCAUGCCGCGUGUGUGAAGAAGGCCUUCGGGUUGUAAAGCACUUUCGUCCGGAAAGAAAUGGCUCUGGUUAAUACCUGGGGUCGAUGACGGUACCGGAAGAAUAAGGACCGGCUAACUACGUGCCAGCAGCCGCGGUAAUACGUAGGGUCCAAGCGUUAAUCGGAAUUACUGGGCGUAAAGCGUGCGCAGGCGGUUGUGCAAGACCGAUGUGAAAUCCCCGAGCUUAACUUGGGAAUUGCAUUGGUGACUGCACGGCUAGAGUGUGUCAGAGGGGGGUAGAAUUCCACGUGUAGCAGUGAAAUGCGUAGAGAUGUGGAGGAAUACCGAUGGCGAAGGCAGCCCCCUGGGAUAACACUGACGCUCAUGCACGAAAGCGUGGGGAGCAAAACAGGAUUAGAUACCCUGGUAGUCCACGCCCUAAAACGAUGUCAACUAGUUGUUGGGGAUUCAUUUCCUUAGU
rnacentral:rRNA from 1 species